AGAGUUUGAUCCUGGCUCAGGAUGAACGCUAGCUACAGGCUUAACACAUGCAAGUCGAGGGGCAUCACGAGGAUAGCUUGCUAUCUUUGGUGGCGACCGGCGCACGGGUGAGUAACGCGUAUCCAACCUGCCAUUUACCGGGGCGCAGCCCGUCGAAAGACGGAUUAACGCCCCAUGAGGUACACGGAUGACAUCAGAAGAGUACCAAACGUGAGGGUAGAUGAUGGGGAUGCGUCUGAUUAGGAAGUUGGCGGGGUAACGGCCCACCAAUCCAUCGAUCAUUACGGGUUCUGAGAGGAAGGUUCCCCACAUUGGAACUGAGACACGGUCCAAACUCCUACGGGAGGCAACAGUGACGAAUAUUGGUCAAUGGGCGCGAGCCUGAACCAGCCAAGUAGCGUGCAGGAAGACGGCCCUAUGGGUUGUAAACUGCUUUUAUACGGGGAUAAAGUGAGCCACGUGUGGUUUAUUGCAGGUACCGUAUGAAUAAGGACCGGCUAAUUCCGUGCCAGCAGCCGCGGUAAUACGGAAGGUCCGGGCGUUAUCCGGAUUUAUUGGGUUUAAAGGGAGCGUAGGCUGGCUGUUAAGCGUGCCGUGAAAUGCGUGGGCUCAACCGACGCACUGCGGCGCGAACUGGCGGUCUUGAGUUGGCGGAAAGUGCGCGGAAUUUGUGGUGUAGCGGUGAAAUGCUUAGAUAUCACGAAGAACUCCGAUUGCGAAGGCAGCGCGCUGCAGCCAUACUGACGCUGAAGCUCGAAAGCGCGGGUAUCGAACAGGAUUAGAUACCCUGGUAGUCCGCGCGGUAAACGAUGGAUGCUCGCUGUUGGCGAUACACGGUCAGCGGCCAAGCGAAAGCGUUAAGCAUCCCACCUGGGGAGUACGCCGGCAACGGUGAAACUCAAAGGAAUUGACGGGGGCCCGCACAAGCGGAGGAACAUGUGGUUUAAUUCGAUGAUACGCGAGGAACCUUACCCGGGCUUGAAUUGCAGGAGAACGAUACAGAGAUGUUGAGGCCCUUUGGGGCUCCUGUGAGGGUGCUGCAUGGUUGUCGUCAGCUCGUGCCGUGAGGUGUUGGCUUAAGUGCCAUAACGAGCGCAACCCCUUUCCUCAGUUGCCAUCGGGCGAUGCCGGGCACUCUGGGGACACUGCCUCCGUAAGGAGUGAGGAAGGUGGGGAUGACGUCAAAUCAGCACGGCCCUUACGUCCGGGGCUACACACGUGUUACAAUGGGACAUACAGCGCGUCGGCGUCCGGCAACGUGCGUCAAAUCGUGAAAGUGUCCCCCAGUUCGGAUUGGGGUCUGCAACCCGACCCCAUGAAGCUGGAUUCGCUAGUAAUCGCGCAUCAGCCAUGGCGCGGUGAAUACGUUCCCGGGCCUUGUACUAACCGCCCGUCAAG
rnacentral:rRNA from 1 species